GCCCGCAUAGUAUAGUGGUAGAACAGGUCCUUGGUAAGGACCAGGUGCAAGUCCGAUUCUUGCUGCGGGCACCA
rnacentral:tRNA from 1 species